rnacentral:rRNA from 1 species
CAGUCGCCGCGGGAAUACGAAGGGGGCUAGCGUUGUUCGGAUUUACUGGGCGUAAAGGACGCGUAGGCGGACUGAUAAGUCGGGGGUGAAAUCCCAAGGCUCAACCUUGGAACUGCCUUUGAUACUGUUUGUCUUGAGUUCGAGAGAGGUAAGUGGAACUGCGAGUGUAGAGGUGAAAUUCGUAGAUAUUCGCGAGAACACCAGUGGCGAAGGCGGCUUACUGGCUCGAAACUGACGCUGAGGCGCGAAAGCGUGGGGAGCAAACAGGAUUAGAUACCCGCGUAGUCCCUGUCUCUUAUAC